rnacentral:rRNA from 1 species
GGCCCAGACUCCUACGGGAGGCAGCAGUGGGGGAUAUUGCACAAUGGGGGGAACCCUGAUGCAGCGACGCCGCGUGGGCGAGGGAGCGCCUCGGCGCGUAAAGCCCUUUCGGCGGGGGAGAACGAUGACGGUACCCGACGAAGAAGCACCGGCUAAAUACGUGCCAGCAGCCGCGGGAAUACGUAGGGGGCGAGCGUUGUCCGGAAUUACUGGGCGUAAAGAGAGCGUAGGCGGCACUACAAGUCUCAUGUGAAAUACCCGGGCUUAACUUGGGGGUUGCAUGGGAAACUGUAGAGCUUGAGUACAGGAGAGGCAAGCGGAAUUCCUAGUGUAGCGGUGAAAUGCAUAGAUAUUAGGAGGAACACCAGUGGCGAAGGCGGCUUGCUGGACUGAAACUGACGCUGAGGCUCGAAAGCGUGGGGAGCAAACAGGAUUAGAUACCCCCGUA